CGCUCAGUUGUUAACGAGAGAUCCCCAACCUCCAGGAUCCAGUGCUUGAUGAUCUCAGGUGGAGCCGAGGUAAUAAUAAUAGAAAUAAAGUGCACAAUAAAUGUAAAGUGCUUGAAUCAUCUGGAAACCAUCCUCCACCCUGAGUCCCUGAAAAAUUGUCUUCCAUGAAACCUGUCCCUG